rnacentral:tRNA from 1 species
GGGGAUGUAGCUCAGAUGGGAGAGCGCCGCCUUUGCACGGCGGAGGCCAGGAGUUCGAAUCUCCUCAUCUCCAC